AUUUCAUUGCUACAUCUUGUGGUGGCCAUCAAGGGACAUUGCAAUUGGAAAUGAGUCUGUGCAUUGGAGAGAUGGACAAACCCACCUUCAGUGCUGCUGCGGUUGCCCAGAAGUCAGUGAAGUGACAUGAAGAGGGAACAGCGGCCAUUAGAUUUCUUCACAAAGCGAGCUUCCUCGUUCUCUGUCCAUCAUAACUUCAGUAAAGCCAGUGGUCUGGAUUCUGCAGAAAAAUGAGACCAUUACCCAACAGGUAAAUGAUUUCCAUUGCUGGACUCCACGAUCACACCUAGUUAUUCUGCAUGGAGCAGUUGUCAAAUAUGAAUAGAAUGCAGUGUGUCCAACAGGGAGACCGUCAAGGUGCAGCAGUAAGAAGUCUUGGGGGUUCAAACCUGGCAGCAAAUCCUGCCUCAGAGUAAACAAACUGCAGAGCUCCUGUGGAGUCCCAGGGUUUCAGCUGCGGAGGUCAUGGGUUCAUAUUUCUCUGCUCCAACCUUUGGAGCUCAGUGCAGCCGUAAAAAUUCUCUGUGGAGGUAUUUAAAAAAAAAGUUCACGUCACCUUUGGCAGUGCUGGGGCAGCCAGAGAGUGGCACCUGAACUGUUUCUGGAAACCCACAAAGAACUUGACCUGCGACGAUGGUCCCUUGGGUGGGCAGAACACUACAAGCAACGGCGCACUGCUCCCUGUGCUUGCCAGGUGCAUAUCAGAUUCCCACAAAGCAACUGGCUGCCUGUAACCAUUCCAGCAACUUCGCCUUAAGCUGAUAAUUGAAGAAAAUACUUGGCUCUGGGAAGAGACAUGGAGGAAAUGUCUGACAGAUCUGUGUGACAGAGAGCAGCACUCCCUUGGUGAGGAAGGAGUGAUGGAUGUCCUCAUUGUGGCCAUUUUGGUUAAGGAGAAAUUGCUGUCUAACUGAUCCUUUGUGGACUUCUGACCAAAACCAUCCAGUGCAACAUAUGCACAGACACAUCCAGAUUCCUGCUAGGAUUUGGAAUUGGCAUCGAGCAACACCCACUCCUCCACCCGGACCAGAAACCACCGAGAUGUCCCUCCCUCGGAUGAAGCUCAUGUGUCACUCACAACCCAUGGCAGAGGGCGUGCAGGGGCUUGGAGCAGAGGACAGUUGGAAUGGGAAGAUAUAGCAUGGUUAACCAGAAUCCAGACUCAUCUGAGCUCCUUGGGCAUCUCCCACUGCAUCAUUCAGGACCUGAGGUUCCCAUGUGCCUUUCUGGUCUUCUCAGCAAGCUAAUGGAAACAAUCCUGAAACUUCAAGGC
ensembl:lncRNA